rnacentral:rRNA from 1 species
UACGUAGGGUGCAAGCGUUGUCCGGAAUUAUUGGGCGUAAAGAGCUCGUAGGCGGUCUGUCGCGUCUGCUGUGAAAACCCGGGGCUCAACCCCGGGCUUGCAGUGGAUACGGGCAGACUAGAGUUCGGUAGGGGAGACUGGAAUUCCUGGUGUAGCGGUGAAAUGCGCAGAUAUCAGGAGGAACACCGGUGGCGAAGGCGGGUCUCUGGGCCGAUACUGACGCUGAGGAGCGAAAGCGUGGGGGAGCGAACAGG